UGCUCGCGUUUCUCGGUUUGCCGACUUUAAAAACCUGGCGACUAUAUCGAUAUGUUCGCGAGUUUUUCACCCAGAAGAGAAAUGACAAUCUAUGGGCUGUUGGUGCAGAUCAUAAUCGUUUGUAACUAGCCAUCUGAAGAGUCCCACUUCCGAGGAGGAGCAGCCAUGGCACCGCCCCAAGAGCAGCCGGAGGAUGAUAUUAUCACCAAGAUACCCUCGAUAAUUGGAUUCCUGAACUUGGACUGACUGGCGACAAUUGGAUGACUUUGGCCCCCCUUUUACCCCAAAUUCGAUGAGCUGACCAGCUGACCUAGAGAGCCAAGGCUGAAGUGCUGAAUCAUGAGAAUUAUAGCUAGAAAUCUGUCAUAAUCUUACGGCUAACGACAAACGCUUAAAUAAACCAGCAAUGUGAGCAAAGCUA
rnacentral:sRNA from 13 species